rnacentral:lncRNA from 1 species
AUUUUGAGCUUAUUAUGUCAUUUUCGAGGAAAAUACGCUAAGUUAUGAGCUAACCAAGGUUCUUGUACUAUUUUUGACCUAAAUAAGCUAAUUAUGUCAUAAAUGAACUAAAUAAGCUAAUUAUGUCAUUUUGGAGGAUAAUCUGCUAAGUAUGCCAUUUUGGAGAAUAAAACUAGAAGAAGGAGGGGGGGAAGGAGAAGAAGACUAUAAGGAGGAGGAGAAAAAGAAGAAGAAGUAGAAGAAGAAGGUGAAGAAGAUU